rfam:Salmo salar isolate Sally breed double haploid chromosome ssa09, whole genome shotgun sequence.
UGCACCCUCUACUGAAAGUCGCUCUGGAUAAGAGCGUCUGCUAAAUGACUCGAG